rnacentral:lncRNA from 1 species
CAGAGCUUUGUUGUUAAUUCUGAUCACUAGUUUGGCUUCAAAAAGUAAUGAGUUAAGGAGGGCUAGAAAGACAGUGGAUGGGAGGACCCAGUUGCUGAGAGCGUUUUCUGAGUGAACACUGGUGGAGAGACAGAAGGGGAAAGAAAACUUCAAGUUAUCAGCUCGCAACUGCUUUCAAUCGGAGUUCCAUCCUCCGCCGCAGUAUGCCCUAACGCAGCGUUAUCUUCAGAGCUACCACCGGCUUCCGAAACCUUUCGGAGGAGCGCUUCGCCACCACCUGCACGGCGGAGCGGCGCGUAAACGAACCUCGAACGCCAGCCUUUGCGCCUGCGUG